rnacentral:rRNA from 1 species
UACAGAGGGGGCAAGCGUUGUUCGGAAUUACUGGGCGUAAAGGGCGCGUAGGCGGCCUGUUAAGUCGAACGUGAAAUCCCCGGGCUCAACCCGGGAACUGCGUCCGAUACUGGCAGGCUUGAAUCCGGGAGAGGGAUGUGGAAUUCCAGGUGUAGCGGUGAAAUGCGUAGAUAUCUGGAGGAAUACCGGUGGCGAAGGCGGCAUCCUGGACCGGCAUUGACGCUGAGGAGCGAAAGCUAGGGGAGCAAACGGG